rnacentral:rRNA from 1 species
CUUAGAGUUGAUCUGGCUCAGGACGAACGCUGGCGGCGCGCCUAACACAUGCAAGUCGAACGGUGAAAUGAAGCUUGCUUCAUGGAUCAGUGGCGGACGGGUGAGUAACACGUGAGCAACCUGCCUUUCAGAGGGGGACAACAGUUGGAAACGACUGCUAAUACCGCAUAACGUGCCGAGGAGGCAUCUUCUUGGUACCAAAGAUUUAUCGCUGAAAGAUGGGCUCGCGUCUGAUUAGAUAGUUGGUGAGGUAACGGCCCACCAAGUCGACGAUCAGUAGCCGGACUGAGAGGUUGAUCGGCCACAUUGGGACUGAGACACGGCCCAGACUCCUACGGGAGGCAGCAGUGGGGAAUAUUGGACAAUGGGGGAAACCCUUAUCCAGCGACGCCGCGUGAGGGAAGAAGGUUUUCGGAUUGUAAACCUCUGUCAGCGGGGACGAUAAUGACGGUACCCGCGGAGGAAGCCACGGCUAACUACGUGCCAGCAGCCGCGGUAAUACGUAGGUGGCAAGCGUUGUCCGGAAUUACUGGGUGUAAAGGGAGCGUAGGCGGGAUGUCAAGUCAGAAGUGAAAAUUACGGGCUCAACUCGUAACCUGCUUUUGAAACUGAUAUUCUUGAGUGAAGUAGAGGCAAGCGGAAUCCCUAGUGUAGCGGCGAAAUGCGUAGAUAUUAGGAGGAACACCAGUGGCGAAGGCGGCUUGCUGGGCUUUUACUGACGCUGAGGCUCGAAAGCGUGGGGAGCAAACAGGAUU